UACAGAGGGGGCAAGCGUUGUUCGGAAUUACUGGCGUAAAGGGCGCGUAGCGGCCGCCUAAGUCAGACGUGAAUCCCUCGCUCAACCGGGAACUGCGUCUGAUAUGGUGGCUUGAAUUCGGGAGAGGGAUGCGGAAUUCCAGGUGUAGCGGUGAAAUGCGUAGAUAUCUGGAGGAACACCGUGGCGAAGGCGGCAUCCUGGAC
rnacentral:rRNA from 1 species